rnacentral:rRNA from 1 species
UACGUAGGGUGCGAGCGUUGUCCGGAAUUAUUGGGCGUAAAGGGCUCGUAGGCGGUUUGUCACGUCGGGAGUGAAAACUCGGGGCUUAACCCCGAGCCUGCUUCCGAUACGGGCAGACUAGAGGUAUGCAGGGGAGAACGGAAUUCCUGGUGUAGCGGUGAAAUGCGCAGAUAUCAGGAGGAACACCGGUGGCGAAGGCGGUUCUCUGGGCAUGUCCUGACGCUGAGGAGCGAAAGUGUGGGGAGCGAACAGG